rnacentral:rRNA from 1 species
GACGAAGGGGGCAAGCGUUGUUCGGAAUUACUGGGCGUAAAGGGCGCGUAGGCGGCUCUGUAAGUCAGGCGUGAAAGCCCUGGGCUCAACCUGGGAGUGGCGCUUGAUACUGUGGGGCUAGAGAGCGGGAGAGGAUGGUGGAAUUCCCAGCGUAGAGGUGAAAUUCGUAGAUAUUGGGAAGAACACCGGUGGCGAAGGCGGCCAUCUGGACCGUAUCUGACGCUGAGGCGCGAAAGCGUGGGGAGCAAACGGG